GAUGAACGCUGGCGGCGUGCCUAAUACAUGCAAGUCGAGCGAACAGACGAGGAGCUUGCUCCUCUGACGUUAGCGGCGGACGGGUGAGUAACACGUGGAUAACCUACCUAUAAGAGUGGGAUAACUUCGGGAAACCGGAGCUAAUACCGGAUAAUAUAUUGAACCGCAUGGUUCAAUAGUGAAAGACGGUUUUGCUGUCACUUAUAGAUGGAUCCGCGCCGCAUUAGCUAGUUGGUAAGGUAACGGCUUACCAAGGCGACGAUGCGUAGCCGACCUGAGAGGGUGAUCGGCCACACUGGAACUGAGACACGGUCCAGACUCCUACGGGAGGCAGCAGUAGGGAAUCUUCCGCAAUGGGCGAAAGCCUGACGGGGCAACGCCGCGUGAGUGAUGAAGGUCUUCGGAUCGUAAAACUCUGUUAUUAGGGAAGAACAAAUGUGUAAGUAACUAUGCACGUCUUGACGGUACCUAAUCAGAAAGCCACGGCUAACUACGUG
rnacentral:rRNA from 1 species